rnacentral:rRNA from 1 species
GACGAACGCUGGCGGCGUGCUUAACACAUGCAAGUCGAACGGAAAGGCCCUGCUUUUGUGGGGUGCUCGAGUGGCGAACGGGUGAGUAACACGCGAGUAACCUGCCCUUGACUUUGGGAUAACUUCAGGAAACUGGGGCUAAUACCGGAUAGGAGCUCCUGCUGCAUGGUGGGGGUUGGAAAGUGUCGGCGGUAGGGGAUGGACUCGCGGCUUAUCAGCUUGUUGGGGGGGUAGUGGCUUACCAAGGCUUUGACGGGUAGCCCGCAUGAGAGGGUUACCGGCCACCAUGGGACUGCGAUACGGCCCAGACUCCUACGGGAGGCAGCAGUGGGGAAUAUUACACAAUGGGCGGAAGCCUGAUGCAGAAACGCCGGGUGCGGGAUGACGGCCUUCGGGUUGUAAACCGCUUUCGCCUGUGACGAAGCGUGAGUGACGGUAAUGGGUAAAGAAGCCCCGGCUAACUACGUG